rnacentral:rRNA from 1 species
AACGAACGCUGGCGGCAGGCUUAACACAUGCGAGUCGAACGCCCGGGCAACCGGGAGUGGCAGACGGGUGAGUAACACGUGGGAACGUACCCUUUGGUUCGGAAUAACUCAGGGAAACUUGAGCUAAUACCGGAUAAGCCCUUUUGGGGAAAGAUUUAUCGCCGAAGGAUCGGCCCGCGUCCGAUUAGCUAGUUGGUGAGGUAACGGCUCACCAAGGCGACGAUCGGUAGCUGGUCUGAGAGGAUGAUCAGCCACACUGGGACUGAGACACGGCCCAGACUCCUACGGGAGGCAGCAGUGGGGAAUAUCGGACAAUGGGGGCAACCCUGAUCCAGCCAUGCCGCGUGAGUGAUGAAGGCCCUAUGGUUGUAAAGCUCUUUCGGCGGGGACGAUAAUGACGGUACCCGCAGAAGAAGCCCCGGCUAACUUCGUGCCAGCCGCCGCAGUAAAAC